rnacentral:rRNA from 1 species
GACGUAGGGUGCGAGCGUUGUCCGGAUUUAUUGGGCGUAAAGAGCUCGUAGGCGGCUCGUCGCGUCAGCUGUGAAAGCCCUUGGCUUAACCGAGGAAGUGCAUCCGAAACAUGGCGAGCUAGAGUACUAAAGAGGAUCGCGGAAUUCCCGGUGUAGAGGUGAAAUUCGUAGAUAUCGGGAGGAACACCGGUGGCGAAGGCGGCGAUCUGGGUAGAUACUGACGCUGAGGUGCGAAAGCGUGGGGAGCAAACAGGG